rnacentral:sRNA from 2 species
CAGGACAAAUGCAGGAGUUGUGCUGGGGCAGUAUUUCUGUGCUCUACUUCUGUGUUAGUACUCAUUACUAUCCCAAGAUUUCCUCUGCUCAACUGAAACCAGUUGACCCCGCGCCGCAAUCCACUAUUGUGGCGGACGUAAAGCUUGCGAAAACAGAAUUUUCUGCCACCCCCUGAAAAGUAGUAGCAAAACACCGCAAAAAUAACCAAAAUAUCCACGUAUCUCUAGAAUCAUUCAAAUAUCAUCCAAUUCAUUCAAAUACGCACCUUUAUCAUCAAAUACACACCUUUAUCAUCAAAUCUGCCAAUAUGCCCCCCCAGCUCAGCAAAUUUACCACCAAUGAGAUCGUACACCUUCUAAACAAUGGUUAUAUACCUGCUCAGAUUGCACGGACCAUUGAGUGCCAUCUGACCACUGUAUAUCAAAUCCAACAAAAUAUUCACUGCUUUGGAACUGCUAGAAGUUCUCAUUCAACAUGGGGUGUAAAGUCAAAGAUCACACUGAAUAUCUUGUCAGAUUUGAAGGAUUUUUUUGAGGCAUAUCCAACUGCAUAUCACAAUGAGACUGUCUGCUUUGUGAAGGAUGAAUUUGAUGUUGAUAUCCAUCCUCAAUCAAUAUCUAGAUUGUUGAAGAAACUGAAUUUGACAUGGAAAA